AUAUAUAUAUAGAGAGAGAGAGAGAGAGAGAGAGAGAGAGAGAGAGAGAGAGAGAGAGAGUUGGGCUGAAAUACUAUUAAUAGUAUUUAGCCUCUUUUGCUAUCGAGUUUUUAAUCCUUAAAUGAAAAAUUAUAGGGUUAGGAUGAUAGUGGCCCCCUAGGGCUUAGUGGUGGUCCUCCUAAGAUUGAGUGGGUGGUUGGUUGAAUAAUAUAAUCUAAAGGGUAGAAUUGAUUAAAGUGUAGAUUUAACAGCUAAACAAUCGAUAGCAAAAGAGUCCAAAUAUUAUUAAUAGUAUUUAUUUGACCCUAACUCUCUCUCUCUCUCUCUCUCUCUCUCUCUCUAUAUAUAUAUAUAUAUAUAGUUCGGCUACCAUACUCUUAUGAGUACGAUCGCCCUUGUACUCAUAAAUUGUUUUCGAUGAUAGAGCUUCUGAAUCGACGAUCCAUACCGUUAAACAAUAUUUAGAGCAUUUAAAACUUCUAGAUAUUAAAUUUCAUAAUUUUUCGACAUCAUUUACCUUACGAUCAAAAGCUCACAAAAUUGACAAUAUUUUUUAACGGCCAGUAUCGGAUACUUGCUAGUUUAACGGUGUAAAAGAAUUGGAAUAGGUUGAAUUUUUGAUAAAAAAUUCUAUUCACUACCUAGAUAAAGAUCAAUAACUCCGAUCUUAAAUUAAAAGAUCCGAUCAUCCAUUUUUAAGACAUCGUUCGAUUUUGACCGUUCAUUUUAUGCCGGUUUGAUGGGCUUUGUUAUGAUUUCAAAAAAUUACAAAAUUUAUGUUUUAGAAGUUUCAAAUACUCUAAAUCAUAUUUAACGGAGUGGAUCGUCGAUUCGAAAGCCCCAUCAUCGAAAAUAACUUAUGAGUACAAAGGGGCCAAUACUCAUAAGAGUAUAGUAGCCCUACUAUAUAUAUCUAUAGAGUGAGGCUACUAUGCUAUUGGAAGCACGGAGCCUUCCGUGCUUCCAGCUCGUUUUCGAUGUUACGACUUUUGAAUCGUCGAUCGGCUCCAUUAAACUUGAUCUAGAGUAUUUGAAGUACCUAGAAAAUAAAUUUUAUGAUUUUACGAUAUCAUUUGCCUAGUGAACGAAGGGGCUCAAAAUCAACGGCUGAAAAUAAAAAUCUUACAAAAUGUAAUAAUAUGACAUUAAAAUUUUAAAUCAAAGAUAUUGAUCUUGUUUUAUAUAGUAUAAAGAAUUUUCUAUCAAAAUUUCACGUGAUUUGGAUAUUUCUACACCGUUAAACUUGCAAACGGCUCACUACGGCCAUUGAAAUUUGUUGAUUUUGAGCCCAUUCGAUCACUAGGCAAAUGAUAUCGAAAAAUAAUAAAAUUUAUUUUCUAGGUACUCCAAAUACUCUAGAUCAAGUUUAACGGAGCCGAUCGACGAUUCGAAAGUCGCAACAUCGAAAACGAGCUGGAAGCACGGAAGGCUCCGUACUUCCGAUAGCAUAGUAGCCUCACUCUAUAUAUAUAUAUAUAUAUAUAUA
rnacentral:lncRNA from 1 species